AUUGAACGCUGGCGGCAGGCCUAACACAUGCAAGUCGAACGAGUGGCGGACGGGUGAGUAAUGUCUGGGAAACUGCCUGAUGGAGGGGGAUAACUACUGGAAACGUUAGCUAAUACCGCAUACCAUCAGAUGUGCCUAGAUGGGAUUAGGUAGUUGGUGGGGUAACGGGUCACCAAGGCGACGAUCUCUCGCUGGUCUGAGAGGAUGACCGGCCAACUGGGAACUGAGACACGGUCCGGACUCCUACGGGAGGCAGCAGUGGGGAAUAUUGCACAAUGGGCGCAAGCCUGAUGCAGACAUGCCGCGUGUAUGAAGAAGGCCUUCGGGUGGAAAAGUACGUUCAGCGGGGAGGCGUUACCCGCAGAAGAAGCACCGGCUAACUCCGUGCCAGCAGCCGCGGUAAUUC
rnacentral:rRNA from 1 species